rfam:Ehrlichia chaffeensis str. Arkansas, complete genome.
GCCCCUAUGGCGGAAUGGUAGACGCGGUAGACUCAAAAUCUACUAUUCGAAAGGAUAUGCUGGUUCAAGUCCGGCUAGGGGUA